GGCGGCAGGCCUAACACAUGCAAGUCGAGCGGAUGAGUGGAGCUUGCUCCAUGAUUCAGCGGCGGACGGGUGAGUAAUGCCUAGGAAUCUGCCUGGUAGUGGGGGACAACGUUUCGAAAGGAACGCUAAUACCGCAUACGUCCUACGGGAGAAAGCAGGGGACCUUCGGGCCUUGCGCUAUCAGAUGAGCCUAGGUCGGAUUAGCUAGUAGGUGAGGUAAUGGCUCACCUAGGCGACGAUCCGUAACUGGUCUGAGAGGAUGAUCAGUCACACUGGAACUGAGACACGGUCCAGACUCCUACGGGAGGCAGCAGUGGGGAAUAUUGGACAAUGGGCGAAAGCCUGAUCCAGCCAUGCCGCGUGUGUGAAGAAGGUCUUCGGAUUGUAAAGCACUUUAAGUUGGGAGGAAGGGCAGUAAGUUAAUACCUUGCUGUUUUGACGUUACCAACAGAAUAAGCACCGGCUAACUUCGUGCCAGCAGCCGCGGUAAUACGAAGGGUGCAAGCGUUAAUCGGAAUUACUGGGCGUAAAGCGCGCGUAGGUGGUUCAGCAAGUUGGAGGUGAAAUCCCCGGGCUCAACCUGGGAACUGCCUCCAAAACUACUGAGCUAGAGUACGGUAGAGGGUAGUGGAAUUUCCUGUGUAGCGGUGAAAUGCGUAGAUAUAGGAAGGAACACCAGUGGCGAAGGCGACUACCUGGA
rnacentral:rRNA from 1 species